GUCAGUGGGCAUGGUGGGGAUGGGUUGGGGUUGGACUU
rnacentral:miRNA from 7 species